rnacentral:rRNA from 1 species
CCUACGGGUGGCAGCAGUGGGGAAUAUUGGACAAUGGGCGCAAGCCUGAUCCAGCAAUGCCGCGUGAGUGAUGAAGGCCUUAGGGUUGUAAAGCUCUUUCGGCGGGGAAGAUGAUGACGGUACCCGCAGAAGAAGCCCCGGCUAACUUCGUGCCAGCAGCCGCGGUAAUACGAAGGGGGCUAGCGUUGUUCGGAAUUACUGGGCGUAAAGGGCGCGUAGGCGGCGCAUUAAGUCAGGUGUGAAAGCCCUGGGCUCAACCCAGGAAUUGCACUUGAUACUGAUGUGCUUGAAUCCGGAAGAGGAUGACGGAAUUCCCAGUGUAGAGGUGAAAUUCAUUGAUAUUGGGAAGAACACCAGUGGCGAAGGCGGUCAUCUGGUCCGGUAUUGACGCUGAGGCGCGAAAGCGUGGGGAGCAAACAGGAUUAGAUACCCGAGUAGUC